AUACGGAGGAUCCAAGCGUUAUCCGGAUUUAUUGGGUUUAAAGGGAGCGUAGGUGGACGUAUAAGUCAGUUGUGAAAGUUUGCGGCUCAACCGUAAAAUUGCAGUUGAUACUGUAUGUCUUGAGUGUACAAGAGGUGGGCGGAAUUCGUGGUGUAGCGGUGAAAUGCUUAGAUAUCACGAAGAACUCCGAUUGCGAAGGCAGCUUACUAAGCUGUAACUGACAUUGAGGCUCGAAAGUGUGGGUAUC
rnacentral:rRNA from 1 species